AGCGAACGCUGGCGGUAGGCCUAACACAUGCAAGUCGAACGGCAGCACAGUAAGAGCUUGCUCUUACGGGUGGCGAGUGGCGGACGGGUGAGGAAUACAUCGGAAUCUACUUUUUCGGGGGGGAUAACGUAGGGAAACUUACGCUAAUACCGCAUACGACCUACGGGUGAAAGCAGGGGAUCUUCGGACCUUGCGCGAUUGAAUGAGCCGAUGUCGGAUUAGCUAGUUGGCGGGGUAAAGGCCCACCAAGGCGACGAUCCGUAGCUGGUCUGAGAGGAAGAUCAGCCACACUGGAACUGGGACACGGUCCAUGCUCCUACGGGAGGCAGCAGUGGGGAAUGUUGGACAAUGGGCGGAAACCUGAUACAGCCAUACCGCGUGGGUUAAGAAGGCCUUCCGGUUGUAAAGCCCUUUUGUUGGGAAAGAAAAGCAGCAGGUUAAUACCACGCUGUUCUGACGGUACCCAAAGAAUAAGCACCGGCUAACUUCGUG
rnacentral:rRNA from 1 species